rnacentral:rRNA from 1 species
GACAGAGGCCCCGAGCGUUAGGCGGAAUUACUGGGCGUAAAGCGUGCGCAGGCGGUGCUGUAAGACAGAUGUGAAAUCCCCGGGCUCAACCUGGGAACUGCAUUUGUGACUGCAUCGCUGGAGUGCGGCAGAGGGGGAUGGAAUUCCGCGUAUAGCAGUGAAAUGCGUAGAUAUGCGGAGGAACACCGAUGGCGAAGGCAAUCCCCUGGGCCUGCACUGACGCUCAGGCACGAAAGCGUGGGGAGCAAACAGG